AGAAUCAACGCUGGCGGCGUGCCUAACACAUGCAAGUCGCACGAGAAAGGGGAGCAAUCCCUGAGUACAGUGGCGCACGGGUGAGUAACACGUGAAUCAUCUACCUCCGAGUGGGGAAUAACUGAGAGAAAUCUUAGCUAAUACCGCAUAAUACCCACGGGUCAAAGCAGCAAUGCGCUUGGAGAGGAGUUCGCGGCAGAUUAGUUAGUUGGCGGGGUAAUGGCCCACCAAGACGAUGAUCUGUAUCCGGCCUGAGAGGGCGCACGGGACACACUGGAACUGAAACACGGUCCAGACUCCUACGGGAGGCAGCAGUGGGGAAUUUGCGCAAUGGGGGAAACCCUGACGCAGCAACGCCGCGUGGAGGAUGAAGCCCCUUGGGGUGUAAACUCCUUUCGAUCGGGAAGAUAAUGACGGUACCGAUAUAAGAAGCCCCGGCUAACUUCGCGCCAGCAGCCGC
rnacentral:rRNA from 1 species